CCCAGACUCCUACGGGAGGCAGCAGUGGGGAAUAUUGCACAAUGGGCGCAAGCCUGAUGCAGCCAUGCCGCGUGUGUGAAGAAGGCCUUCGGGUUGUAAAGCACUUUCAGUAAGGAGGAAAGGUUGGAUGUUAAUAGCAUUCAGCUGUGACGUUACUUACAGAAGAAGCACCGGCUAACUCCGUGCCAGCAGCCGCGGUAAUACGGAGGGUGCGAGCGUUAAUCGGAAUUACUGGGCGUAAAGCGUACGCAGGCGGUUUGUUAAGCGAGAUGUGAAAGCCCCGGGCUCAACCUGGGAACUGCAUUUCGAACUGGCAAACUAGAGUGUGAUAGAGGGUGGUAGAAUUUCAGGUGUAGCGGUGAAAUGCGUAGAGAUCUGAAGGAAUACCGAUGGCGAAGGCAGCCACCUGGGUCAACACUGACGCUCAUGUACGAAAGCGUGGGGAGCAAACAGGAUUAGAUACCCUGGUAGUCCACGCCGUAAACGAUGUCUACUAGAAGCUCGGUUCCUCGGAACUGUUUUUCAAAGCUAACGCAUUAAGUAGACCGCCUGGGGAGUACGGCCGCAAGGUUAAAACUCAAAUGAAUUGACGGGGGCCCGCACAAGCGGUGGAGCAUGUGGUUUAAUUCGAUGCAACGCGAAGAACCUUACCUACACUUGACAUACAGAGAACUUACCAGAGAUGGUUUGGUGCCUUCGGGAACUCUGAUACAGGU
rnacentral:rRNA from 1 species